rnacentral:rRNA from 1 species
UGAAAGAUUAAGCCAUGCAUGUCUAAGUACUUGCAUAUAAAUGCGAAACCGCGCAUAGCUCAUUAUAACAGUCCUAAUUUACAAGUAUAUGAUUUAUCUACACGGAUAACUUUGGCAAUUCUGGAGCUAAUACGUGCAUUGAUGCCUAACUUUUGUUGGGUGCAGUUAUUAGUACAAAACCAUCCGACUUCGGUCGGUUUUGUUAACUCUGGAUAAUGUUGCUAAUCGCGUGGUCUCGUACCAGCGAUGUAACUUUCAAGGGACUGAUCUAUCAACUUCGACAUUAGUGUAUUGAACUAAUGUGGUGUUGACGGAUAACGGAGAAUUAGGGUUCGACUCCGGAGAAAACGCCUGAGAAACGGCGGUUACAUCCAAGGAAGGCAGCAGGCGCGAAAAUUACCCACUCUCGGUUCGAGGAGGUAGUGACGUGAAAUGGCAGAAUCCUUUUCUUUAUGGAACGGAUUAUUGCAAUGAUGUGAGUUUAUAAACCUUACAAAUUUGCUAUGAGAGGGCAAGUCUGGUGCCAGCAGCCGCGGUAAUUCCAGCUCUCAUACUGCAUUGAAUAGUUGUUGCGGUUAAAAAGCUCGUAGUUGGAUCUUUUACGUUUGCGUGGUCUGCUCAUUGAGUGGUACUACUGCAACGUAAUUUGUAUGGGAUUUCUGUAUUCUUUAUUGAGUGCAGUGUCUUAUACGAUUACUUUGAAUAAAUCGGAGUGAUUCAAACAGGCGUAAGCUUGAACGUUCUUGCAUGGAAUAAUAAAACAAGACAUUGGGCUUGUUUUUUGGUUUUAAAGACCAAUGUAAUGAUUAAAAGGAACAAUUCGGGGGCAUUCGUAUUGAUGCGCGAGAGGUGAAAUUCGUUGACCGUAUCAAGACGAUCUAAAGCGAAGGCAUUUGCCAAGAAUGUUUUCAUUAAUCAAGAACGAAAGUCAGAGGAUCGAAGGCGAUUAGAUACCGCCCUAGUUCUGACCGUAAACUAUACCAUCUAGCGAGUUCCUAGCGGAUUCAAUGCCCUUGGAACGAGCUUCUCGGAAACGAAAGUCUUUCGGUUCCGGGGGAAGUAUGGUUGCAAAGUUGAAACUUAAAGGGAUUGACGGAAGGUCACCACCAGAAAUGGAGCCUGCGGCUUAAUUUGACUCAACACGGGAAAUCUCACUCAGUCUAGACACUAAAAGGAUUGACAGACCAAUAGCUCUUUCAUGAUUUGGUGGUUGGUGGUGCAUGGCCGUUCUUAGUUCGUGGAGUGAUUUGUCUGGUUAAUUCCGAUAACGAACGAGACAAGAGCUUUAUUAAAUAGAUUCAGGGAACUUUUUGCUGGAAUGAAUCUUCUUAAUGGUAUAAUCAGUGUUUAACUGAAUGAAACUUGGCAAUAACAGGUCUGUAUGCCCUAAGAUGUCCGAGGCCGCACGCGCGCUACAAUGUAUUCUGUAGCGCGUAUGUAUGUUUCGAUAUCGAAGGAUUGAGAUAACCGUGUCAAAUUAAGCCUUAUUAGGGCUUGGCGAUUGAAAUUAUUUGCCAUAAACAAGGAACUUCAAGUAAGUGUGAGUCAUCAGCUCACGCUGAUUACGUCCCUGUCCUUUGUACACACCGCCCGUCGCUGCCCGGAACUGAGUUGGUUCGAGAAGACUGGGGAUUGGCUGACUUGCGUGAUUUCGGUUACGCUUGUUGUCGAGAACCAGUUUAAUCGCAUCGGCUUGAACCGGGCAAAAGUCGUAACAAGGUGGCCGUAGGUGAACCUGCAG